UACGAAGGGGGCUAGCGUUGCUCGGAAUCACUGGGCAUAAAGGGUGCGUAGGCGGGUCUUUAAGUCAGGGGUGAAAUCCUGGAGCUCAACUCCAGAACUGCCUUUGAUACUGAAGAUCUUGAGUUCGGGAGAGGUGAGUGGAACUGCGAGUGUAGAGGUGAAAUUCGUAGAUAUCGAGAGGAACACCAGUGGCGAAGGCGGGUCCCUGGACAACACCUGACACUGAGGCACGAAAGCUAGGGGAGCAAACAGG
rnacentral:rRNA from 1 species